rnacentral:tRNA from 1 species
GACUGGAUAGCCUAGUGGUAGAGGCAUCACAUUGACAAUGCUGAGGUCCCAGGUUCAAAUCCUGGUCUAGUCA